GGCUUAGAGUUUGAUCAUGGCUCAGGAUAGACGCUGGCGGCGCACAUAAGACAUGCAAGUCGAACGGACCAAAUUGAUUUGUUUAACUUAUCGAAGAGGUUAGUGGCGGACUGGUGAGUACAACGUAAAUAAUCUGCCUAUAAGAGGGGAACAACACUGAGAAAUCAGUGCUAAUACCGCAUAAGCUAACAGUAACGCAUGUUAUAGUUAGAAAAGGAGCAAUCCGCUUAUAGAUGAGUUUACGCCUGAUUAGCUAGUUGGUGUGGUAAAGGCAUACCAAGGCGACGAUCAGUAGCCGUGCUGAGAGGCAAGACGGCCACAUUGGGACUGAGAUACGGCCCAGACUCCUACGGGAGGCAGCAGUCGGGAAUAUUGCGCAAUGGAGGAAACUCUGACGCAGUGACGCCGCGUAUAGGAAGAAGGUUUUCGGAUUGUAAACUAUUGUAGACAGGGAAGAAAAAGGACAGUACCUGUAAAGUAAGCUCCGGCUAACUAUGUGCCAGCAGCCGCGGUAAUACAUAGGGAGCAAGCGUUAUCCGGAUUUAUUGGGUGUAAAGGGUGCGUAGACGGGAAUAUAAGUUAGUUGUGAAAUCCCUCGGCUCAACUGAGGAACUGCAACUAAAACUGUAUUUCUUGAGUGCGGGAGAGGAAAGUGGAAUUCCUAGUGUAGCGGUGAAAUGCGUAGAUAUUAGGAGGAACACCAGUGGCGAAAGCGACUUUCUGGACCGUAACUGACGUUGAGGCACGAAAGUGUGGGGAGCAACAGGAUUAGAUACCCUGGUAGUCCACACCGUAAACGAUGGAUACUAGUGUAGGGGUAUUAAGCCUUCUGUGCGUCGCAAACGCAUAAGUAUCCCACUGGGAGUACGA
rnacentral:rRNA from 1 species